CCUACGGGAGGCAGCAGUGGGGGAUAUUGCCCAAUGGGGGAAACCCUGAUGCAGCGACGCCGCGUGUAGGAAGACGGUCCUCUGGAUUGUAAACUACUGUCCCCAGGGACGAAGAUGACGGUACCUGGGGAGGAAGCUCCGGCUAACUACGUGCCAGCAGCCGCGGUAAUACGUAGGGAGCGCGCGUUGUCCGGAAUUACUGGGUGAAAAGGGAGCGUAGGCGGGGAUGCAAGUUGGGUGUUAAAUCUACCGGCUCAACUGGUAGUCGCACUCAAAACUGCAGCUCUUGAGUGAAGUAGAGGCAGGCGGAAUUCCUAGUGGAGCGGUGAAAUGCGUAGAUAUUAGGAGGAACACCAGUGGCGAAGGCGGCCUGCUGGGCUUUUACUGACGCUGAGGCUCGAAAGUGUGGGGAGCAAACAGGAUUAGAUACCCUUGUAGUC
rnacentral:rRNA from 1 species